rnacentral:lncRNA from 1 species
UAAUCCAAGCUUGAUCAGUUGGGUUUAAACUAAUAAUUGAGUUGGAUUGAUUUGAUUUUAGAUUAAAUAUAUCAUGGAUUAGGUUAGGUUGGGCUGGGUUUGGGUUUGGAUAAAAAAACCAACCGACGCCUAGCCCUAGAGCACAGAAUUAGGUUUGCUUUCUUCUUUUGUGAACUUUUCUUCGCUUCUGACGGUUUACUGUUUUAUUUUCUUCUUAUCCUUGAAGAAGGAGCUACUGAGUUGGCAGCGAGAAAUGGAAAACGGAGGCUACGAAAUACCUGAAAACGCAAACGAACGUAUGCAAUUUCCAUUAGUUUCAGUUUCANNN